CCUACGGGCGGCAGCAGUGGGGAAUAUUGCACAAUGGGGGAAACCCUGAUGCAGCGACGCCGCGUGAGUGAAGAAGUAUUUCGGUACGUAAAGCUCUAUCAGCAGGGAAGAAAAUGACGGUACCUGACUAAUAAGCCCCGGCUAACUACGUGCCAGCAGCCGCGGUCAUACGUAGGGGGCAAGCGUUAUCCGGAUUUACUGGGUGUAAAGGGAGCGUAGACGGACGCGCAAGUCUGGAGUGAAAUCCCAGGGCUUAACCCUGGAACUGCUGUGGAAACUGGGCGGCUGGAGUGAAGGAGAGGUAAGCGGAAUUCCUAGUGUAGCGGUGAAAUGCGUAGAUAUUAGGAGGAACACCAGUGGCGAAGGCGGCUUACUGGACUGUAACUGACGUUGAGGCUCGAAAGCGUGGGGAGCAAACAGGAUUAGAUACCCUGGUAGUC
rnacentral:rRNA from 1 species